AUGUUGCUUGAAAAGUACAAGCUAAGAUCACACCCAUACAUGACGCAGCUGUUCGAGAUUAGGCAUAAAUGGGCCAAGCCUUAUUUCAAAGGCGUGUUCUGUGCAAAGAUGACCAACACACAGAGGAGUGAAAGCGCAAACUACCUGUUAAAGAAUUAUGUCCCCCGGGGGUAUCUGAUGCCUAUGUUUGUGCAGAAGUAUAUGAGGCUGCAGUUCGACAGAGAAUCUGAUGAGAACUACGAGGAGAAGCGAACAAGAAUUGUAAGUACAAAUCUCGAUUGGUCGUAA
rnacentral:rRNA from 1 species